rnacentral:rRNA from 1 species
UACGUAGGGUGCGAGCGUUAAUCGGAAUUACUGGGCGUAAAGCGUGCGCAGGCGGUUUCACAAGCUAGAUGUGAAAGCCCCGGGCUUAACCUGGGAACUGCAUUUAGGACUGUGGAGCUAGAGUGCGGCAGAGGGAGGUGGAAUUCCACGUGUAGCAGUGAAAUGCGUAGAUAUGUGGAGGAACACCGAUGGCGAAGGCAGCCUCCUGGGCCGACACUGACGCUCAUGCACGAAAGCGUGGGGAGCAAACAGGAUUAGAUACCCUGGUAGUCCACGCCCUAAACUAUGUCAACUGGUUGUUGGGGAAGGUAACUUCCUUAGUAACGAAGCUAACGCGUGAAGUUGACCGCCUGGGGAGUACGGCCGCAAGGUUAAA